rnacentral:rRNA from 1 species
UAGGGAAUCUUCCACAAUGGACGCAAGUCUGAUGGAGCAACGCCGCGUGAGUGAAGAAGGUUUUCGGACCGUAAAGCUCUGUUGUUGGUGAAGAAGGAUAGAGGUAGUAACUGGCCUUUAUUUGACGGUAAUCAACCAGAAAGUCACGGCUAACUACGUGCCAGCAGCCGCGGUAAUACGUAGGUGGCAAGCGUUGUCCGGAUUUAUUGGGCGUAAAAGCGAGCGCAGGCGGAAGAAUAAGUCUGAUGUGAAAGCCCUCGGCUUAACCGAGGAAUUGCAUCGGAAACUGUUUUCUUGAGUGCAGAAGAGGAGAGUAGAAACUCCAUGUGUAGCGGUGGAAUGCGUAGAUAUAUGGAAGAAUACCAGUGGCGAAGGCGGCUCUCUGGUCUGCAAACUGACGCUGAGGCUCGAAAAGCAUGGGUAGCGAACAGGAUUAGAUACCCUGGUAGUCCAUGCCGUAAAACGAUGAGUGCUAAGUGUUGGGAGGCUUCCGCCUCUCAGUGCUGCAGCUAACGCAUUAAGCACUCCGCCUGGGGGAGUACGACCGCAAAGGUUGAAAC